AAUUUGGGAACGAGAUGCCCGGGGAUGCAACCAGCCCCGCGCUCGGAGGCGGCGGCCGGAGUUCCGUGCGCAGAGGGCACACAAAAGCCUCGAGGAUCAUUGCCUCGACCCCAUCCCCCACCGCGCGGCGACGCCCCCUACGGGCUGGGACACCCCCACCCUCGGACUGCUGCCGGGUUUUCCUCCGGCUGCGACCCUGGAGAGUUUGCCAUCUCCCUAUCACUACCACCGCCACCACACAUAGCACCCUUAAGACUCCCUGUGAUCCUGGGAUGCACUCAAUGAAGAGUGUGUGACCCAGGAUUUGAUGGAAAUGCUACAAGAGAAGCAGGCUCUCCUCUUCUGAAAUGAUAAGUGAUAAUGACCAUACAGGUCAACUUUUCCACCAGUUGGAGGGAGCCUGUCAAAGAACAAAGGCAACAGAGAAGAGAGCAGAGCUGAGGUUGGGUGAGAGGGAGAAAUUCCUGAGUGCUUGAAUCCCACAUGCCGGAAGCCGCACCACACUUGGGCUUCUCAAUACAGGAGCCACUGAGAAACCAAGUCAUGCUGAAGACCUGGAAAUCCCAGCAGGCUGCAAACCAGCUGCAACCACAAUGGGUCAGCCCUUUUGAGAUGCUGCUGACUACCCACUCAUCUGCCAAGUUAGCCAGUGUUAAGCCAUGGAUUCACCACGCUCAGAUAAAACCUGUCCCUCUGGGAUCCCUCCAGAAAAAAACAGGCAUGCUCUUGUGAACCCUAAGAUGGCCUUAAGUUAAUAUUCAAUGCCCAGCCAAAGACCCUAAAUAAGAAGUCAUAAAGGGAACAUGUGUUUCCAGGUACCAAUCACCCUCCAGAUCUAAGAAUGGCUUCAGGCUGGGGCUGCAGUCACCUCUUUGCCCAGCUUGUCCCCUGCCCUAUUCUGCUUAACUUGCAUCCUUAAAUGUUCCACCCAAGAGCUCUUCUUCAAGAAAGCACCCAUAAAGCCAGACACAUUGGCUUAUGCCUAUAAUCCUAGCACUUUGGGAGGCCAAGGUAGGAGGAUGGCUUGAGCCCAGGAGUUCAAGACCAGCCUGGGCAACUUAAUGAGGCCCCGUCUCUACAAAAAAUAAAAAAAUUAACCAGGUGUGGUGGUGUACGUCUCUAGUCUCAGCUACUCAGGAGGCUGUGGCAGGAAGAUGGCUUGAGCCCAGGAGGUCGAGGCUGCAGUGAGCUAAGAUCAUGCCACUGCACCCAUCUUGGGCAACAGAAUGAGAUCCUGUCUCUAAAAAAAUAAAAACAAUUUACAACAGUAAGCACCUGUACACAAGCCCCAUCUCCAGCCCUGUUUCUAGGGCUUCCAAUUGAACACACCUAGAGGCUGGGCACAGUGGCUCAUGCCUGUAAUCCCAAUAUUUUGGGAUGCUGAGGCAAGUGAAUCACUUGAGGUCAGGAGUUUGAGACCAGCCUGGCCAUGGCAAAACCCCAUCUCUACUAAAAUUGCAAACAUUAGCUGGGUGUGGUGGCACAUGCCUGUAAUCCCAGUUACUCGGGAGCCUGAGACAGGAGAAUCACUUGAACCCAGGAGGUGGAGGUUGCAGUGAGCCAAGAUCACACCACUGUACCCCAGCCUGGGCAAUGAAAGAAGACUCUGUCUCAAAAAAAUAAAAAAUAAAAUAAAACACACCUGGAGCUUUCU
rnacentral:antisense_RNA from 1 species